rnacentral:rRNA from 1 species
UACAGAGGGGGCAAGCGUUAUUCGGAAUUAUUGGGCGUAAAGGGCGCGUAGGCGGCUUGGCAAGUGGAAGGUGAAAUCCCUCGGCUCAACUGAGGAACUGCCUUCCAGACUGCUUUGCUUGAGUCCGGGAGAGGUGAGUGGAAUUCCCAGUGUAGCGGUGAAAUGCGUAGAUAUUGGGAGGAACACCAGUGGCGAAGGCGGCUCACUGGACCGGAACUGACGCUGAGGCGCGAAAGCAUGGGGAGCGAACAGG